UGCAAAAACUUUAACACAGCAACGGUUCUCUAGAUCUCACUGCCUCAUUAGUCUAAUCUAUUUCUCUCAUAUUUAACGAACAAAUCUUAAUUUAAUUGACAAAAUCAAAGCCCAUAAUCUCUCCCCUCCUUCCUCCAAAAAUUCAAGCGUUUCUACCAUCAUCUCCAAUAUAGCAGCAACUGCUGCAACUAAGCCACUACUAGCAGCUGCAGCUUUUCAUGGUUUAGCAAGAAGGAAAAAUGGCAGUGUCUACUUUGAAUGUGACUCCGACGAUUCUUUCUUCCUUUUCUUCUUCUCGUUGGUGGUACUGUUAUUUAUAUCGAAAUCCCGAGGUCAGUUUUAACAGAAAAAGCGAUUGUCCAAAACGCUCUCUGCUUUGCUCGGGUUUUGUUAAAAAAACUGCUUCCUCCUCCUCCUUUGGAAUUGGAGUAUCUGUUUCCAGGUUUUCGAGAAAGAGUGAUUUCGAAUCCAACAACAGCAAGUGGAUUUUGAAUGCCACUACUGAUACUCGCAUUCUUGACAAUGCCGCGGCUACAGCCACUGUUGAAAUCCCCGUCACUUGUUAUCAGUUGAAUGAAGUGGCAGGUUGUUGGUGUUCCUGAUAAGGCAGAGAAGGAUGAGAUUAUUAAGUCGGUGAUGCAAUUGAAAAAUGCUCAAAGGAAGAGGGUUAUACCUUGGAUGCUGUUAUGUCUCGGCAGGAUCUUCUAAUGGAUGCAAGGGAUAAGCUUCUUUUUGAACCAGAAUAUGCUGGGAAUGGGAGGGAGAAGAUCCCACCUAAAUCCUCUCUGCGAAUUCCAUGGGCUUGGUUGUCUGGUGCCCUUUGCCUGCUUCAAGAGGUACAAGUCUGUGAUGUCUUAUCAAAUAUGCUGGUGCUUUC